rnacentral:tRNA from 1 species
GUCUAGGUAUGGGAAUCGAACCCACAACGUUCCGCUUACCGGGCAGAUGCCAUGUCCACUAGGCUACCCUGGA